rfam:Oceanicaulis sp. HLTCCA04 ITZX_scaf_56, whole genome shotgun sequence.
CGGUGACUGGAGUUCGCGUCAGGCUUUUACAUCCCAGGGACCUUACAUCUCUGAACGGGAGCUACCUCUGAUGUUGGCCGUGGCCUUCAUCAUGCGGCGCCCACCUGGUAGUCCAGGUCAUCAGGGUUGUUACACAGCCAACGGCCCGUCUGGUGCCGCC